ACCGCAGAGCUGAGGAAUGCAGAGGAAGGGCGUGGACAGGCCCUGGGGACUCCAGGGAUCAGGACGUGGAAGGCGCACGGAUGACCAGGCUCUCACCUUUGACCUUCCCUAGGAGCUUGCUGAGAAGCUGAGAAAGUCUGGCCCAAAGCUCGCCAGGAGCCUGGGAGGCUCCAGAAGUGGAAUAGAUGUCCAUUCGCCUGGUCUUGGAUUUUGGCCCUGAAGAAUGUGAGGUCUCCCCUGUCUAGGCUUCAUCCAAUGUAGGAGAGAGUCUCCUGGCUGCCUUUGGGUCAAGAUGCAGAACUCUCCUCCAACACCAUGUCUGCCUUCGCACUGCCGUGCUUCUGCCAUGAUGAUAAUGGACUGAAACUCUGAAACUAUACCUUACCAUCAUAGAAAGCUUGACAACGGACCUCAGAAGAGGAAAUGACACUUGCUUCAUACUCCAUCACUGACCAAGUGACCCUGUCCUGUCCUAGGACUCCAGCCCCUUACUUCUUCCAUUGUCCCAAAGUGUGGUACUAUCGAGGGCAUGAGGUUCUUCUGCUCCCAGAUAAACACCGGGGGAACCAGAAAUGCCAAACACGCAGCUCGUCUCUUUCACAGAAGGGAUGUGUGGUCCUGUUUUCCACUUAGAAGGCUGGGAGUGGACGUUGCUAAUAGCCUGGUGAUCUGAGCUAUCUGCAGGGCCAGGCCAUACCCAAAUCCCCCAGAAUGUUUAUCCGAGACUCCUUCUCCUUAGACCUUUAUCUUGGGCAUUGUUUCUUGGCCAACAGAAGGCAUCCUUAUGGGAAAUGUCACAUGUACUUCGUAGGUCGGUGACCUCUACACUAUCUGUAACCAAGAUCACGCCAGAUGGCCCUACACCGCCUUAAGCUUUAUUGACGCACAUUGGAUUGAAAAAGUUGUUUCCAGAAAACUUUUUUUCACCCCAAAAGUUGCACUGUAUUUAAAUGCCUAAAAAAAUAAAUUGU